rnacentral:lncRNA from 1 species
UUCAGGAAGCUUUUGUAGGCUUCGCUGUGGGGUGUUGGGCGUAUGAGGCGCAUGGAGAGCACAAUCAAGGUCCAAUGGCGAGUCUUAGUUGGGAUUGAAGGGUGUGUGCAGCGACGGUUAAGGAUUUUAACCUCUCUUGAUUCGGUUUAUGUGUUGGUGAUGUUCGUGUGCGUCAGGUCUAUCUCGAUGAUCUUCUCUCCUGGUGUUAUUUAUGAAUGUGUGCUCGUUAGGUAUGCCCGUCCUUGAGUGCA